UACGUAGGGGGCCAGCGUUGUCCGGACUUACUGGGCGUAAAGCGCGCGCAGGCGGGUGUGUAUGUGCCGUGUGAAAGCGCCGUCUUAAUGCGGCGAGGUCACGGUAGACAGCGCAUCUUGAGGUUCAGAGAGGUCAGUGGAAUUCCGGGUGGAGCGGUGAAAUGCGUAGAGAUCCGGAGGAACACCAGAGGCGAAGGCGACUGACUGGCUGAAUACUGACGCUGAGGCGCGAAGGCGUGGGGAGCAAACCGG
rnacentral:rRNA from 1 species